GACGAACGCUGGCGGCGUGCUUAACACAUGCAAGUCGAACGGUGAAGCUCCAGCUUGCUGGAGUGGAUCAGUGGCGAACGGGUGAGUAACACGUGAGCAACCUGCCCCUGACUCUGGAAUAAGCGCUGGAAACGGCGUCUAAUACUGGAUACGAGAAGGGUCCGCAUGGGCACUUUCUGGAAAGUUUUUCGGUUGGGGAUGGGCUCGCGGCCUAUCAGCUUGUUGGUGAGGUAAUGGCUCACCAAGGCGACGACGGGUAGCCGGCCUGAGAGGGCGACCGGCGACACUGGGACUGAGACACGGAGCAGACUCCUACGGGAGGCAGCAGUGGGGAAUAUUGCACAAUGGGCGAAAGCCUGAUGAAGCGACGCCGCGUGAGGGAUGACGGCCUUCGGGUUGUAAACCUCUUUCAGCAGGGAAGAAGCGAAAGUGACGGUACCUGCAGAAGAAGCACCGGCUAACUACGUG
rnacentral:rRNA from 1 species